GACGAACGCUGGCGGCGUGCCUAAUACAUGCAAGUAGAACGCUGAAGGAGGAGCUUGCUUCUCUGGAUGAGUUGCGAACGGGUGAGUAACGCGUAGGUAACCUGCCUGGUAGCGGGGGAUAACUAUUGGAAACGAUAGCUAAUACCGCAUAAUAGUAGAUGUUGCAUGACAUUUGCUUAAAAGGUGCAAUUGCAUCACUACCAGAUGGACCUGCGUUGUAUUAGCUAGGUGGUGGGGUAACGGCUCACCAAGGCGACGAUACAUAGCCGACCUGAGAGGGGGAUCGGCCACACUGGGACUGAGACACGGCCCAGACUCCUACGGGAGGCAGCAGUAGGGAAUCUUCGGCAAUGGACGGAAGUCUGACCGAGCAACGCCGCGUGAGUGAAGAAGGUUUUCGGAUCGUAAAGCUCUGUUGUAAGAGAAGAACGAGUGUGAGAGUGGAAAGUUCACACUGUGACGGUAUCUUACCAGAAAGGGACGGCUAACUACGUG
rnacentral:rRNA from 1 species